rnacentral:lncRNA from 1 species
AGAGGCAUGGGAUAGAAUCACUGAAAUGCUGAGACAACUGUUCCUUCUCCUCCCUUGAGCUAAGACCCUGAAAGCUGAACCAGUACCAUCUCCUUGGAGCACCUUCUGAGGGUCCCUCUAGCCUACAAAGUGUAGUCAAGUGGAAUUUGUGCGCUUUCCUGAUUCAGGCCCAAUCCAGUCUUCCUAUGCCAGCCACAGAGCAGUCCCAUACUCCCUUCUGCUCAAUCCUACCCUGCCUCUUCUGCCUGUGAGUAUCCUAUUCACUUGGCUUGGAUUACCUUUCUUGCUCAUCUGCAGUAGACUUUACCAAUGCUCCCUGCUAUCUGGAUCUCUUCCACGUUCAGAGCAGCUGUGUCUCAUAAGAUGUUAAUACUGCAGAUGUCCUGAGAAGUAUGUGUCUUCCAUGGUCAAAAGCGUACAGGUAGCAGACCAGCAAGUUAACUACAUAAUCACAUCUCUCAGUAGAACGUGACUACCAUUCCUGCAAGAACCUUAAACAAACACUUAUCACCAUCAAGAUGCCUAUUCUGGCAGAAGCCCAUUCCUCCAUCUGCAUGGAUGAUCAGAACAGAAAACAAUCCGGGAAUAUGUUGCUGUUUAGAAUUGGAGCAUCAAAAGCCAAUGCAGAAGAUACAGAAGGAGCAGCCAGGAAGAAAAUCAGGACAGUGGUGUUUCACAGAAACCUAGAGAGAAGAGAAUUUCACAGAAAAAUUAGCAGAGCAUGCCAACUACUGAUACUGAUUAGGGAAAUUUAGAAAUGUCAAAAAUCUUCUAACUCAGCCAUGAAGAGAUCACUGCUGAUUUUCUGUCAGGGAAAAACCCCAA